rnacentral:sRNA from 1 species
AGCAAUUAUGUUUUAAACGAUAGUCCAAGUUGUCUCCUAUGUAACUACAUUCCAGGUAUCUCAAGCACUAACAACUAUAUGUACUCCUUCUUUCCACAUGGGAUGCUCAAUUACUUGGCUACUCUUUAACCUCAUUUCUCAAAGCACAGAUGGAAUAUAAUGUUCACUUUUGGGAAUGACAGGAUCGUUCAGUGGGGAAAGGCACCUGUCUCUAAGGCUGAUGAACUGAGUUUGUUUCUGAGAACACACACGCUAGAAGGAUAAAACCUGCUUCUUCACAUUGUCCUCUGACCUCCACUCCCAUGUCUUCGCCUCGAAACUGCUCUUCAAAAUGCAUAUUCAACAAAUACAUAAAAUGUAAUAAAAACAUAAAGAAAACUUAAGUGUACACUUUCCACAGGAUAAGAAUCACCUUGUUUCUGACUUUAGAUGAAUAGUCCAGUUCAGACUGUGAAUGGAAUUGUCUCCAUAAAAGACUCCAAGAUGAAUGGAAGACAACUUAUAGGAGUUGGUUCUUCCAUGCACAUCCGGGUCUCGAGGAGAGAAUGAAGGACUUCAAGCUUGGUAGCAGGGGACUUUUCUAAGCUAAAUGGAGUAAAAUUUUUCUAAUUUAUCCACAUUUACUGUUUCACCCAUGUAAUUCCAACAUACAGAGGUGGAUGUAGAAUGAAGAGGAGUCCAAAUCCAAUUUGCAUACAUAGUAAGUUGGAAGCCACCCUGGGACACAUGUCGUAUAACAAAUAAUGUUAUGACAAUUUGAAGUGAUUUGUGUACCUCCCAGAGCCACAGACUAACACAAGCCUCAAUACCAGGGAGGUGAAACUUCUUAUCAAGUAAUUGGGCAGAAAGUACAAGUACACCCCACCCUAAUAAUAUAGGCUGUUGCAGUUAGCCUAGGCUGCCUCCUGGAAUUUGAAGGUAAGUCCCCAUUGCUAAAAACACCACACAUAAAGGACAAAGGACUUUGAACCAUUCAACUCCAUCUGAGCUAGAAGCCUAUUCCCUAAAGACUUGCUUUCCAUGUACCAAAAGGCGCUGUAGAAGAUGUGAAGGAAGAAAAGCAAUCAAUAGUCCUGCCUCGUUAUAAUAUCUAUGAACUACAAAAAUGACCAAAAAGGUGACCUAUCUCAAAGGUGCAAUAGUAGUCCUUAUAUCUUAGAUGUAACCAACAGAUAAAUGAAUGGAUGUGAGGCCACUUAAUAGAAGAGAACUAAUACCUGUUACUUUAAACCCAAUCAACUACCCACGGAUGGUGACAUAAUCCCUAGACGAAGUGAUAAUGACAAUAUCUUCUGAAAGAAUAUAUCUUUCCUAAGUUGAGUCCUCUAAUCACAUCCAACAUCAAGUUGAAGACAUAAAAACAUAUAUAUAUGAGCAAA